AGAAACACGGGUUCAGCCCGCGGAGCCACCCAUGUACCGAGUCAGGGAUUCCCGGGGAAUAAGAAGAGGCCGCAGUAAGGAAAGAACUCAGAAGUGAAGAACACGAAAAGAGGACGCAGGGCUGGGCUCAUGGAAGGAACCGCGGGAACAUCGAGGGACUCGGUUGCCAGGGCUCCAGGUGGAGCGAGAAGAGCGUCUCUGAGUCACAGCAGUUGGGGAGAUCGGGUGUUCGUGGGCCGCGAGUGGGAAAUAUGCCAGUCCGUGGACCAUGGUGCACGGAGCGUGAGGAGGGAUGGGCUCUUACCUGAGAAGCCGAAGAACGCCAGGCCCAAGGCAGCCCAGAGGCCGAGCAGAGCCCGGCGCAGCCCUGGCGAGGGCCCUGG